GUACACAAAAAUGCACAUAUUGUGAGCUCGAUGAGUAGGGCGGGACACGUGGUAUCCUGUCUGAAUAUGGGGGGACCAUCCUCCAAGGCUAAAUACUCCUGACUGACCGAUAGUGAACCAGUACCGUGAGGGAAAGGCGAAAAGAACCCCGGCGAGGGGAGUGAAAAAGAACCUGAAACCGUGUACGUACAAGCAGUGGGAGCCUCUUUAUGGGGUGACUGCGUACCUUUUGUAUAAUGGGUCAGCGACUUAUAUUCUGUAGCAAGGUUAACCGAAUAGGGGAGCCGAAGGGAAACCGAGUCUUAACUGGGCGUUAAGUUGCAGGGUAUAGACCCGAAACCCGGUGAUCUAGCCAUGGGCAGGUUGAAGGUUGGGUAACACUAACUGGAGGACCGAACCGACUAAUGUUGAAAAAUUAGCGGAUGACUUGUGGCUGGGGGUGAAAGGCCAAUCAAACCGGGAGAUAGCUGGUUCUCCCCGAAAGCUAUUUAGGUAGCGCCUCGUGAAUUCAUCUCCGGGGGUAGAGCACUGUUUCGGCAAGGGGGUCAUCCCGACUUACCAACCCGAUGCAAACUGCGAAUACCGGAGAAUGUUAUCACGGGAGACACACGGCGGGUGCUAACGUCCGUCGUGAAGAGGGAAACAACCCAGACCGCCAGCUAAGGUCCCAAAGUCAUGGUUAAGUGGGAAACGAUGUGGGAAGGCCCAGACAGCCAGGAUGUUGGCUUAGAAGCAGCCAUCAUUUAAAGAAAGCGUAAUAGCUCACUGGUCGAGUCGGCCUGCGCGGAAGAUGUAACGGGGCUAAACCAUGCACCGAAGCUGCGGCAGCGACACUAUGUGUUGUUGGGUAGGGGAGCGUUCUGUAAGCCUGUGAAGGUGGCCUGUGAGGGUUGCUGGAGGUAUCAGAAGUGCGAAUGCUGACAUAAGUAACGAUAAAGCGGGUGAAAAGCCCGCUCGCCGGAAGACCAAGGGUUCCUGUCCAACGUUAAUCGGGGCAGGGUGAGUCGACCCCUAAGGCGAGGCCGAAAGGCGUAGUCGAUGGGAAACAGGUUAAUAUUCCUGUACUUGGUGUUACUGCGAAGGGGGGACGGAGAAGGCUAUGUUGGCCGGGCGACGGUUGUCCCGGUUUAAGCGUGUAGGCUGGUUUUCCAGGCAAAUCCGGAAAACCAAGGCUGAGGCGUGAUGACGAGGCACUACGGUGCUGAAGCGACAAAUGCCCUGCUUCCAGGAAAAGCCUCUAAGCAUCAGGUAACAUCAAAUCGUACCCCAAACCGACACAGGUGGUCAGGUAGAGAAUACCAAGGCGCUUGAGAGAACUCGGGUGAAGGAACUAGGCAAAAUGGUGCCGUAACUUCGGGAGAAGGCACGCUGAUAUGUAGGUGAAGCGACUUGCUCGUGGAGCUGAAAUCAGUCGAAGAUACCAGCUGGCUGCAACUGUUUAUUAAAAACACAGCACUGUGCAAACACGAAAGUGGACGUAUACGGUGUGACGCCUGCCCGGUGCCGGAAGGUUAAUUGAUGGGGUUAGCGGUAACGCGAAGCUCUUGAUCGAAGCCCCGGUAAACGGCGGCCGUAACUAUAACGGUCCUAAGGUAGCGAAAUUCCUUGUCGGGUAAGUUCCGACCUGCACGAAUGGCGUAAUGAUGGCCAGGCUGUCUCCACCCGAGACUCAGUGAAAUUGAACUCGCUGUGAAGAUGCAGUGUACCCGCGGCAAGACGGAAAGACCCCGUGAACCUUUACUAUAGCUUGACACUGAACAUUGAGCCUUGAUGUGUAGGAUAGGUGGGAGGCUUUGAAGUGUGGACGCCAGUCUGCAUGGAGCCGACCUUGAAAUACCACCCUUUAAUGUUUGAUGUUCUAACGUUGGCCCGUAAUCCGGGUUGCGGACAGUGUCUGGUGGGUAGUUUGACUGGGGCGGUCUCCUCCUAAAGAGUAACGGAGGAGCACGAAGGUUGGCUAAUCCUGGUCGGACAUCAGGAGGUUAGUGCAAUGGCAUAAGCCAGCUUGACUGCGAGCGUGACGGCGCGAGCAGGUGCGAAAGCAGGUCAUAGUGAUCCGGUGGUUCUGAAUGGAAGGGCCAUCGCUCAACGGAUAAAAGGUACUCCGGGGAUAACAGGCUGAUACCGCCCAAGAGUUCAUAUCGACGGCGGUGUUUGGCACCUCGAUGUCGGCUCAUCACAUCCUGGGGCUGAAGUAGGUCCCAAGGGUAUGGCUGUUCGCCAUUUAAAGUGGUACGCGAGCUGGGUUUAGAACGUCGUGAGACAGUUCGGUCCCUAUCUGCCGUGGGCGCUGGAGAACUGAGGGGGGCUGCUCCUAGUACGAGAGGACCGGAGUGGACGCAUCACUGGUGUUCGGGUUGUCAUGCCAAUGGCACUGCCCGGUAGCUAAAUGCGGAAGAGAUAAGUGCUGAAAGCAUCUAAGCACGAAACUUGCCCCGAGAUGAGUUCUCCCUGACUCCUUGAGAGUCC
rnacentral:rRNA from 1 species